rnacentral:rRNA from 1 species
GACGUAGGGUCCGAGCGUUGUCCGGAGUUAUUGGGCGUAAAGAGCGUGUAGGCGGUUCGGUAAGUCUGUCGUGAAAUCCUGAGGCUCAACCUCGGGCGUGCGAUGGAUACUGCCGGGCUAGAGGGUGGUAGAGGCGAGUGGAAUUCCCGGUGUAGCGGUGAAAUGCGCAGAUAUCAGGAGGAACACCGAUGGCGAAGGCAGGUCUCUGGGCCACUACUGACGCUGAGAAGCGAAAGCAUGGGGAGCGAACAGG